rnacentral:lncRNA from 10 species
GCACAAACUCAGGGCAAUGCUGGUUCCCAACUGGAACUGUGGACCUCAGUGUUGAACAAUCGGGAAAAGAAACAUAAAAUGGAAAGGUCUCCACCAGUCAACCGUAAGAAACAGUGAUGACUAUGAUGUAGCCUUCAGCAUGGGGAAGUACCAAUGCCUGCAUUCUAUGCUACCAGCAGCAGCUGCCCUAGCUUCUUUACCACAUCAACGUUUUCAUACACAUUAUCUCACAAUUUGUCUGCUAAGACUUCAGCUGUAAUUUAUGAAGCACUGAAGGGACUACAUCCAUCCGAGUGAUAGAAACUCCAGGCUGAAGCUGUUCAAGCAAUCCUAACUCGUCUUAUGUAUCAAUAACCCCAGUACCUGGCACUGAGCAAUAUCAAAAAUUGGAGAGAAUAAACUGUGGAUAUAUAUUUUUAAAAUUUAGCUCACUAGGAUAAGAGAAUCUGAUUGCAGACUUUAUGUUCUUUGGACUUUAAUUUGUAAAGUGAUUGAAUAUUUGGACUUAAAUUUCUCUCCAGGAAUUUGAAAAUGGUAGGGAGUUUGUAUUCAAACUUAGGGCAUCUUUAUGUUGACAGUCGAUUAAAUAUCUUAAUCAGGUUGUUUGAUCUCUACAACCUGUUAUGCUGUCUUUUAGAAACAUGACUAUAUAUAAUUUGAAAUGGGGAAUAGGAAAUAGAUUUUGAGCCUUGGCUACAGUAUAGUCUUGGAGCUAAUUUCAUGGAUGUACAGGUGUCAUUAAUCUCAGAGCUUGUGAGGGGGAAAUCCACACUGUCUAUAGUGAUCCCAUGGUGACUGCCAAAGCAGCAUUAGUUGGCCCUGGGAGAAUGGCCAGUAGGAGUAAGACUGUCUUGACAGGUUGCUGAUCUCUUCUGAGGGCAACAGCCACACUGCAGGAGGAAAACAAACAGCUGAGAGUGGUGGCCUAAAAAGGUGCUAGUCAGAUUUCCUGUGGAGGGGAGCACAGUUGACUCAAAACCCCAAAUGCCACCCCUCUGGAUCCAGCACCAUGUGCGGUGCUGCCAAAUUCUUCCAGGAUGGUCCCAGCCAACCAAUGCUGAGCCUGGUGGGAGUAGUGGUACAGGGUCCAUUCCUGCCUGAUGUGAAACUUUGCUGGCAGGUGAUUGGCUUGAGGACUUUCCAUUGGUCUUUUCAAAACUUUCUUAGAACUGCACCAUGCUACCCAAUCAUUGUUCCUUCCUUUAGCCUUCCCCACACUGCCUCCCACAGGUGCCAGACUUACCUCUUGGUCUGAGGCCGUCCUUACUUACUCAUGCUUCCUCCCUGUACCCUUCAUAGGCAUGUCCCCCAGUAAAGCUCUUGCACAUUUCAC